rnacentral:tRNA from 1 species
GUCUUCGUAGUGUAACGGCAGCACACUCGGUUUGUAUUCGAGAGGUCCAGGUUCGAUGCCCGGUGACGGCA